GGAAAUAGCUUAGUGGUAGAGUGCAUGCAUGCUUAACAUGCACAAGGUCCUGGGUUCAAUCCCUAGUAUCUCCA
rnacentral:tRNA from 1 species